GACGAACGCUGGCGGCGUGCCUAAUACAUGCAAGUCGAACGCAGGGGGGACGGGUGAGUAACACGUGGGUAACCUGCCAUCAGAGGGGAUCACAAUUGGAAACAGGUGCUAAACCGAUCCUGAUGGAUGGACCCGCGGUGCGUUAGCUAGUGGGGGGGGUAACGGCUUACCAAGGCCACGAGGCAUAGCCGACCUGAGAGGGUGACCGGCCACACUGGGACUGAGACCCGGCCCAGACUCCUACGGGAGGCAGCAGUGGGGAAUCUUCGGCAAUGGGCGAAAGCCUGACGGAGCAACGCCGCGGGAGUGAAGAAGGUUUUCGGGUCGUAAAACGCUGUUGUUGGGGAGGCGGUAUCUAACCAGAAAGCCACGGCUAACUACGUGCCAGCAGCCGCGGUAAUAC
rnacentral:rRNA from 1 species